GUGACGGCGUGCUUUUUGUAGAACGAUCCAGCGAGUUAAUUUCAUGCGCCAGGUUAAGUCAAGUGACGGAGCCACAGUGAAAGCGAGCCUGAAUAGGGCGAUAAGUGUAUGGGAUUAGACCCGAAACCGGGUGACCUAACCAUGAGCAGGUUGAAGCUGCGGUAACACGCAGUGAAGGACCGAACCAGUUUGCGCAGUAAAGCAUUUGGAUGACUUGUGGUUAGCGGUGAAAUGCCAAUCGAACUCGGAGAUAGCUGGUUCUCCUCGAAAUAGCUUUAGGGCUAGCGUCAUGUAAUAUAGCCAACGGGGGUAGAGCUCUGUAAACGACUGGGGCGGGCAACUGUACCCACCGUUAACAAACUACGAAUACCGUUGGUGGUACCAUGGCAGUUAGAACAUCGGGGCUAAGCUCGGUGCUCAAAAGGGAAACAGCCCAGACCAUCAUCUAAGGUCCCUAAAUUAACACUAAGUGGGAAACAAGGUGAAAUUUCUUAAACAGCGAGGAUGUUGGCUUAGAAGCAGCCAUUCAUUUAAAGAGUGCGUAACAGCUCACUCGUCAAGAGAUUUUGCGUGGAAAAUGUAACGGGGCUAAAGUGUUAUACCGAAGAUAUGGAUUUCGUUAUUCCUACGGGUUUAACGGAGAGAAUCCUUUCGGCCGUAAGAGCGAGGUUUCCAGGGCUACUGUAAUAAUCCCUGGGUUAGUCGGGCCUAAGCCGAGGCGUAGCAGCGUAGGCGAUGGAUAUCAGGUUAAUAUUCCUGAACCGGUUAUAAUUUGUAUACUGUGUACGGUAAAUUAGUCGAAGCGGAUUAUUGGUAUAUAUCCGUCCAACUUAGCGGGAACGCAAAAGGAGUGAAAGUUAAUCUACGGAUUAACGAUUUUGAUGAAAGUACUGGCUAGAAAAGCAGAUAUACGUGUGGUUAUAGCCGCCCGUACCGCAAACCAACACAGGUGCUCGAGUCGAGUAGACUCAGGCUUACGAGAGACCCUUCGCUAAGGAACUCGGCAAAACAGCGACCGUAACUUCGGGAUAAGGUCUGCCUCCGCAUCAUUCGAUGCGAGUCGUGUUUCAAGCAAUUAGGUUAAGAUUAAUGGUAUAUAUGAGUAUCUUAAACUUCUUUACCGAGAUAGAACAAGUCAAAUGGCUUAGCUUGGAACGUGGCAAACUCGUAUCAAACGAUGCGGAGGCCGCAGCAAAAGAGCCCACGGAACUGUUUACCAAAAACACAGGUCUCUGCGAACACGAAAGUGGAUGUAUAGGGGCUGACUCCUGCCCAGUGCUGGAAGGUUAAGGGGAGUGCUUUACGGUGCGAACUGAAGCCCCAGUGAACGGCGGCGGUAACUAUAACCGUCCUAAGGUAGCGAAAUUCCUUGUCAGGUAAGUUCUGACCCGCACGAAUGGAGUAAUCAUGUGGGCACUGUCUCGGCGAAGGACUCGGUGAAAGUGCAUUGGCGGUAAAGAUGCCGUCUGUCCAUGCCAGGACGAGAAGACCCCAUGGAGCUUUACUACAGCUUUACAUUGACACGGGUUACAUCAUGUGUAGCAUAGGUGGGAGGCUUUGAAUCAGAUACGCCAGUAUUUGUGGAGCCACAGGUGAAAUACCACCCUUGAUGUAGUCUUUGUCUUACCAUUGCCGUUAUCCGGUAAUGGGACCGUGUAUGGUGGGUAGUUUAACUGGGGCGGUUGCCUCCUAAAGAGUAGCGGAGGCGUUCAAAGGUUGGCUAGCUUCGGAUGGAAAUCGAAGUGAUAGUGCAUGCGCAAAAGCCAGCUUGACUGCGAGAAUUACAAUUCGACCAGAGUGGAAACACGGAGCAAGUGACCCGCUGUAAGAACAUUGUUCAUUGAAUGUGGGAUCGACAGCGCACACGGAUAAAAGUUACCCUGGGGAUAACAGGCUUAUCGCGCCCAAUAGUUCACAUAGACGGCGCGGUUUGGCACCUCGAUGUCGGCUCAUCACAUCCUGGAGGGGGAGCACCUUCCAAGGGUUCGGCUGUUCGCCGAUUAAAGUGGUACGCGAGCUGGGUUCAG
rnacentral:rRNA from 1 species